rnacentral:rRNA from 1 species
UACGUAGGGGGCAAGCGUUGUCCGGAAUCAUUGGGCGUAAAGCGCGUGUAGGCGGCCAGGUAGGUCCGGUGUGAAAACUCGAGGCUCAACCUCGAGAGGUCAUCGGAAACCAUCUGGCUAGAGUCCGGAAGAGGAGAGUGGAAUUCCUGGUGUAGCGGUGAAAUGCGCAGAUAUCAGGAGGAACACCAAUGGCGAAGGCAGCUCGCUGGAACGGUACUGACGCUGAGGCGCGAAAGCGUGGGGAGCGAACAGG